rnacentral:misc_RNA from 1 species
GGAAAUUGCAAUGUGAGACACGUGAACCAGAGAGAGGAUAGAUGGGAUAAUAAAAGCUUUUGCAGAUUAGAUUAUCUUGACUGGGAGCUUGUGUUGGUGCUACUGCUAAAUGUUUAUGAUAGAUGGUGGCAAACUGGCAAAGGCAAAGAUUCCUUUUUGUAUGAUUAGUUUAUUUUUCUUGUUAUUUGUUAAAUAAUUAAUCAGGUUAUUAGGGAAUAGGGAUGGAUUCAGGUUGUUGGGUUGCUAUCAAUGCUAGUGUUUACCUUAUAACAAAGAAUCUGUUGAUAAUAAAUGUUCUUGAUGUGGGAAUUAAUUGUUUUCUAUUAACAUGUGUGGGAUGCAGUCAGAAAUCUUCAAGCUAUUCA